UACGGAGGGUGCGAGCGUUGUCCGGAAUCAUUGGGCGUAAAGGGCGCGUAGGCGGCCACUUCAAGCGUGCGGUGAAAGUCGGGGGCUCAACCCCUGAUCGGCCGUGCGAACUGGGGGGCUGGAGCACUGUAGAGGCAGGCGGAAUUCCGGGUGUAGCGGUGGAAUGCGUAGAGAUCCGGAAGAACACCGGUGGCGAAGGCGGCCUGCUGGGCAGUGGCUGACGCUGAGGCGCGACAGCGUGGGGGAGCAAACAGG
rnacentral:rRNA from 1 species